rnacentral:tRNA from 1 species
AAAAACAAUUUAAUGCUUUAUAAAAAGUUAGAAGCUUUUAUUAAGUUAUUUCUUU